CUAAAGAAACGAAUCCCUCUAGAAGCGUUUGUUAACAUGCCACGCUUUUAGAAUUAGAAACACAAAGGAAACGGAGUAAAUUGUAGCGUAGGCCUAACGUCUUCGACUUGGAGACAGCUACAAUUUUCAUUUUUCCCUUUAAACCCAGAUUUACAAAAUUCUGAAUCAAAACCAUUUUCUAAAUUCCAGCCCUCUUUUAUUCAGUGAAGAAGAAGAAAAAGAACUAUUCAGCGACGUGUGGCAAUGGGUAGACUACCGAUACAGCACUCUCCCUCUGUGAUAUCUUUACAAUCACAGAAAGAUCAAGGGGGGUCAGAAGGUUCGGCAUCUGGACCUGAUCCAAAGCGCAAGAAGAUUUGUUGUGCUUGCCCUGAGACAAAGAGGCUGAGGGACGAAUGCGUUGUUGAACAUGGUGAAGCUGCUUGUGCAAAAUGGAUUGAGGCUCAUAUCAAAUGCCUACGUGCAGAAGGCUUCAAUGUUUGAAAUUUAUGCAGUGCUCAACUUAUAGAAAUUUAAGAACAAUGGAAGUUUUGUAUAAUGGCCUGUUUGAUUUGACUUUAUAGAGUUUUGAAAAUGACCCAGUUCUUUUGGGCUGAAUGCACUAAAAAAAACCAGCCUCCCAAAAAUUCAAAAUAAAGCAAGGUCAGUUUGUGCUAGCAAUUUGAAGCCAAAAUUUGUACACUCUUGAUCUAGUACUCAUGACAUGCCCUUAUUGUUGAUUUUCAUCACUUUCUAUUUAGAUAGUUUAAUAUGUUCUUGAAAUUUCUGGUUCAA